rnacentral:rRNA from 1 species
UAUUGCUCUUGAACGAGGAAUCCCUAGUAAGCACAAGUCAUCAGCUUGUGCUGAUUACGUCCCUGCCCUUUGUACACACCGCCCGUCGCUACUACCGAUUGAAUGGCUUAGUGAGGCCCUCGGAUCGAUGCUCGGAGACUGGCAACAGUUUCCGUUCGUUGAGAAGUUGGUCAAACUUGGUCAUUUAGAGGAAGUAAAAGUCGUAACAAGGUUUCCGUAGGUGAACCUGCGGAAGGAUCAUUACCGAUUUAGCGAACCUGACCUUUGGUCACGGUCUCGCGAAAACUUUGUAUUUAAAACCUCACUCUUAUAAAUUGAAUCAUUCUUAUUAUGUAUACAAUAAAUAAAGAUCACUUUCAACAACGGAUCUCUUGGCUCUCGCAUCGAUGAAGAACGUAGCGAAGUGCGAUAAGUAAUGUGAAUUGCAGAAUUCCGUGAAUCAUCGAAUCUUUGAACGCAAAUUGCGCUCCCUGGCAUCCCGGGGAGUAUGCCUGUUUGAGGGUCAGUGUUAAUAAAAAUCGGUUCGUUGCGAAUUUUUUGUGACGUUUCGGAGUUUGGGUUAUCUUAACUUUUUCGGUUAAGAGGCUUAAAAUUGACCUUUUUUUGUGCAUUUUAGACGUACAUAAAUUUUCUUUUAUUUGUCUAUUAAUGCCAAAAUAUAUUAGAUGCGACCGUAUCGUGUGGUUCCGUGUCUAUAAAUUUUUCAUGAUUUGACCUCAAAUCAGGUAAGAGUACCCGCUGAACUUAAGCAUAUCAAUAAGCGGAGGAAAAGAAAAUAACAAUGAUUCCCCUAGUAACUGCGAGUGAAGAGGGACAAGCUCAAAUUUUAAGUCUGUCGGGUUCUACCUGACAGAGUUGUAAUUUAAAGAAACGUUUUCUGCGUCUUGAGUUAAUCAAAAUCCUUUGGAAUGAGGUAUCAUGGAGGGUGACAAUCCCGUUCAUGGUUAAUUCUAAGAUGCUUUAUGAUGCGUUUUCGAAGAGUCGAGUUGUUUGGGAUUGCAGCUCAAAAUGGGAGGUAAAUUUCUCCUAAGGCUAAAUAUCGGCGAGAGACCGAUAGCGAACAAGUACCGUGAGGGAAAGAUGAAAAGAACUUUGAAAAGAGAGUAAAAUAGUACGUGAAAUUGUUGAAAGGGAAACGAUUGAAGUCAGUCGUACCGACGAGAAAUCAACUUAUCGUGUGCGAACUUGUGGGCGUGCGUGAGUUUCGGCCUCGCUGUUUGCAUGUUUGUGCGCUUUGGGUGUACUUUUUCGUAUGGUAGGCCAACGUCAGUUUCGUUCGCCAUAAAAUGACCGGCGGAAUGUAGCUUCGACCUCGGUUGAAGUGUUAUAGCCUCUGGUAGAUGUGGUGAUCGGGACUGAGGAUUGCAACGAAUAUCCUUUGGGCUAUCCGUCUGACCUCUGAAAGUCGCUCAGGUGUCGAGAGCGUGCUUACGAUUAUCUAAGUUGACGGUCAACAGGCUAGAACGUGAUUACAUUCAUUAAGGACGUUGGCGUAAUGGCUUUAUACGACCCGUCUUGAAACACGGACCAAGGAGUCUAACAUAUGUGCGAGUGUUU